AUGGCGGUGUCGUCUCCCGCUCCGGAGCCGAGGAGGGCCGGCGGUAGCAGCAGCAGCAAAUGGCGCCGCGGCAACAGAAAGGUGAUCAACGGCUGCUCGCGCUCCGCCCCUACCACGACGUCGCGGAGAUGCUCCGCGACUACAUCCCCAGCUGCGCCAGGUCCUGCGCCGGGGACGACACUGCCACCUCCUCCUCGUCGGCGUCCUGCUCCUCCGGCUCCGGCGACCUCGCCUGCGCAUAGAGAACGAGAGAGAAAAACAGUUAUGAUGGAGGAUGGCCAAUUCACCGCGUCGAUCCGCGUACGCGCCAAGUUCAUGGCGUUGGAGUUGUCGGCCACGGCCGCGUUCACGUGGCAGUCUCGAGCACCCCUUCAGUGUCGCUUCUUCGCUUGGCUAGAAGUCAAGAACCGCUGCUGGCCAUCUGAUUGA
rnacentral:rRNA from 1 species